rnacentral:lncRNA from 1 species
UCUGGAGUAAAUUGAGAUUGAAUAAGGGGCAACCUUUAAAUGAGACGUGUUGAUGGUUUGUAGCUGGUGCUUCGAGCCUUCGAGUUUUGAAGUGGAGAAAGUUUAAGCCUUGAUUUUGUCGAUUUUUGUUUCUGAUAUGAACAGCUUUUAGGAAUCUUUAAGCAGCUUUUCUCUUCUCUUUCAAUGUUGACUGCAGUUUUUCUUCUCUCUAGACGGUUUCGUAGAAUGGAACACGCUACCCCACCAUUGAUGAGCUGGGGAUCCCUGCGGUGCAUGCUUUCCACCGCCAAGGCUGUACAAUCAUGACAGCCGCCAGGUCAUCUUAGAUCAGCAUUUUCCCCAAUGCUUUUUUGGCGCUGCCCGAGAGUGGUAUGAAUCUGGGUGGUCAUCAUAUCAUUCACAGAUAGCUAUCUAACGAGAUAUGGUACAUAAAAUGCACUGCAUGCGAUGUCCGCCAUAUCUGAUAGUUAUCCAUCUGGACGAUACGGCAAGCAUCCAAGAUUGUAGCACUCCCAACAGUGAAAAUUGCACGCUACAGAGGAUCCGUCUCCAUCAUCUUUUGCUGGGGAUAGAUGAUUGUUGCUUAUUCUUAUGAGAUACUGUGUUGGGCACCCAACACGAUCCUUUAUAUUCUCAAUUGAGUAAUAGCCAUCUACAUGUAAGAUAGGAUGAUAUAGCAGCUAUCCAAGAUUAUGUACAGCUUUUGUUGAGGUGCAAAAUAUUUAUCAUAAAAGAUUUGAUUUUAUCAUAAAUUAAUUGUUGGGCAUAAUGCUUUAAAGAUGAUCGAACACUUUAGAUAAUGAGUAAAAUAGAAGUUAUCCAUUUCUAUUCUUAUUUUACUAAUUAUUGCUAUAACAUAUUUUCUUAUCUAAUUUAAUGAGUAUAUUGCAGUAGUAUUUUUUAUUAAAAUUAAUCAUAAGUAUUUAUUUAAUUAGGGGAUCUUAUUUUGGCCUUUGCUUUUUUUUCUUGCUUAGCAAGUUUUCUUAUUCUAAAAAAAAAAAAUCUCUAUAAAUACUCAUUGCAACCACUCAAUUGGCAUAGUUUAGGAUUAAUAAAAUUUUUAAAUUUUUUUUUCUAUUCUUUUAUACUAGCAUCACGUUCACAUCCUGCAUGAGUAAGCAUGUCAGCAACCAAGAGAGUGGUUGAAACUAUUUUAUAAGUUUCAAUCAUAUGCCACGGAUAAAUAAUGUGGCAUGCAUGACAACCGCUCCAGGUUGAUAAUGACUUCAUAGAGCAUGAAUCUGGACAAAAUGACAUAGGGUCUGAAUGAUCUUUUUUUAUGUGCCAAGAUGCUCGUGUUUCAUGAAUGAAAAUAUUUUAUAUGAUUACAUUAGGUGGAGAUAAAUGGCAUCUUUCCUGGUUCAAUUUUUUUAUUUUGUGGUAGGAAGGUCGUCUUUUUCUCGUUCUGGCUCUACUAUGGAUGUACGGACCAACAUUAGAUAAGAGACAGAGAAUUUCUCCUCCACCCCUGGAAGACACGGAUGCCUUCUUUAGCAUAUGACUUAUGGAUGAUAUAAUAUGCAUGAUUCGAAGUAUCACGUCUAGGUAAUUCUUAGGCCACUCUUUGUUAAGGUCUUUUCCGAGGGUGAGCCUCUACCUCUUCCUCUAGAGAGGAUGGAUGAUAUAAUAUGAUUCCAAGAAUCACUUUCAGGUAAUUUGAUGCAUGUGGUGUGGGAUAAUGUGAGUGGUGGUAAUUUGAUGCAUGUGGUGUGGGAUAAUGUGAGAGUGGUGGUCUUAAGUAUUUUCUUUUAAGAAAAGGCGUUUCCUGGCCCUUCUGAACUUUUAAAUAGGAAUGAUUGACCGUGUACGUACAUACCUGGGAAUGGAAUCUCUCC